rnacentral:lncRNA from 1 species
GGUUAGAGAAAAGAGAAGAAGAAGAGGAUCUUCUUCUAGGAUUGCUGAGUUCACCUCUUCCCUUCCUCCAUCUAUGAGUUUUCUGAGAGUGUCUCACAUCUAAAACUCCUUCUCCUACUUCUCAUCUUUGGAAGAGUCCAAAUCAAGAAGAAGGAGGCAUCUGAUCGACCAUCGAAGAAGGAUCAACAUAGUACUAGCAUAUUGUACUGAUUUUCUGGACCAAGACUUUUGAUCGUGAUUCGUGGACUCAUGUGGACGACUCCUAGAGGCUAGACGCGUAUGCGGCACGCAACAUCAUUCUCAAGUCCGGAUCAACAAAGUUAGAACGUCUAACUUGCAAGGUAAUAGAUCUGAUCUAUUAUAUUUUACAUACAUUAGAUGUAGUAUAGAAACAUGUUGAUAUGAUCAACAUGUAGUUCUUGCUCUUUAUAUUUUAAUUUCUGAUUUAAUACCAUAUAAUAAUCAUGU